rnacentral:rRNA from 1 species
AUUGAACGCUGGCGGCAGGCCUAACACAUGCAAGUCGAACGGCAGCACAGAAGAGCUUGCUCUUUGGGUGGCGAGUGGCGGACGGGUGAGUAAUGUCUGGGAAACUGCCCGAUGGAGGGGGAUAACUACUGGAAACGGUAGCUAAUACCGCAUAACGUCGCGAGACCAAAGUGGGGGACCUUCGGGCCUCACACCAUCGGAUGUGCCCAGAUGGGAUUAGCUAGUAGGUGGGGUAAUGGCUCACCUAGGCGACGAUCCCUAGCUGGUCUGGGAGGAUGACCAGCCACACUGGAACUGAGACACGGUCCAGAGUCCUACGGGAGGCAGCAGUGGGGAAUAUUGCACAAUGGGCGCAAGCCUGAUGCAGCCAUGCCGCGUGUAUGAAGAAGGCCUUCGGGUUGUAAAGUACUUUCAGCGGGGAGGAAGGCGGUGAGGUUAAUAACCUCGCCGAUUGACGUUACCCGCAGAAGAAGCACCGGCUAACUCCGUGCCAGCAGCCGCGGUAA